ACAUUGGUAGUUCAGUGGUAGAAUUCUUGACUUCCAUGCGGGAGACCCAGGUACGAUUCCCGGCUAAUGUA
rnacentral:tRNA from 1 species